rnacentral:misc_RNA from 1 species
AAAUCUCAACCAUUAGGGUUUCUUAAUGGCUUGGAUUUGGGUGUUGCCAGUUUCGCACUGGCUCACCUCAAAGGAGUUAGCGUGUUUAACUUGUCGUUUCUGGCGUAAUAAGUUUCGCUGGUGAAGACUUGAGAAGUACGCUUCUAAUCGUCCUUGGACAAUUAUUUGAACUC